ACUCAAAGGAAUAGACGGGGGCCCGCACAAGCAGCGGAGCGUGUGGUUUAAUUCGAUGCAACGCGAAGAACCUUACCUGGGCUUGACAUGACGGUGUAAGGCGUGGAAACACGCCCCCCUUCGGGCACCGCCACAGAUGUUGCAUGGCUGUCGUCAGCUCGUGUCGUGAGAUGUUGGGUUAAGUCCCGCAACGAGCGCAACCCUCGUGGUCUGUUGCAAAUCAGGCCAGACUGCCUCUCACAGAGGAGGAAGGUGGGGAUGACGUCAAGUCCGCAUGGCUCUUACGUCCAGGGCUACACACACGCUACAAUGGCCGGUACAAUGGGCUGCCACGGGGCGACCCGGAGCGAAUCCCGAAAGCCGGUCUCAGUUCGGAUACCAGGCUGCAACCCGCCUGGUUGAAGUCGGAGUUGCUAGUAACCGCGUGUCAGCAUAGCGCGGUGAAUAUGUUCCCGGGCCUUGUACACACCGCCCGU
rnacentral:rRNA from 1 species